UGAACAGAGAAUGUUAACAACUGACACAAAGUUAGGUGCAAGUAAGUAAUUUGAAUUUAUAAUUGAAAAGGUGUACAAUAUUAUUGCUUGUAUAUUUAACAGAAUAUUUGAAAUAUAUUAAAUAUAUUUUGUAGCAAUAAUAGACACAAAUGGAGGUCCACAACGAGUCAAUGCUUUCUAUACUACGCUUGAUUCCCCCAUCAAUACCGAACAAAAACUCAAAACCAUGGAAAGCCGAGCUGGUCAAUGCAACAAAAGCAAAUCUUGACAAUGAAAUGAGAAGUUGGGCUUUCUGACCAAGUCGAUAUCCAGACUGUACCUGAUGCAGUUGCAAAUCCAGGAUUCACAAACGUCGACCACGUGAAUGGUGUUCAAGACAAUUGGACCUGGAAACUACUACAUUGAUUCAGCGAGGAUAAAUGACUCACAUUACACAGAUUGCUGCACAGUCUAUUAAUUCCGACGCCAUGUUUUCCUCUUCUGUUUCACCCAAAGUACCCAUCAUCGAAAAUAUUGAGGAGAUUACUGGGAUAUCCUGGGAUGGUGAACAGAUGACAGUGCACGAAAAAAAGUGCCAACUGCAUCGUUAACAGAGCACUUUUGAAAUUUUUAAAUUGUUUGAAAAACAUCAACAAUGUUGUUUAGAUUGCACAAAAUGCAAGAGUUUUUUUUACUUCCGUGUUCUAUCUUAUGCUAUAUGUAAA